UUUUUUUUUUGUCUUUUUAGGACCCUGUACAUGGCAUAUGGAUGUUCCCAGGCUAGGGGUCGAAUCGGAACUGUUGUUGCUGACCUAUCCUACAACUAUAGCAACACCAGAUCUGAACCCCAGAUGUGACCUACACCACAGCUCAGGGCAAUGCUGGAUCCUUAACUCAUUAAGUAAGGUCAGGGAUUGAACCUGCAUCUUCACAGAUAUUAGUCAGUUUUGUUUCUGCUGAGCCAUGACAGGAACUCUUAGGGUUUUUUUUUUUUAAUGUGUUUAUUUGAGAAUGUGAAUGCCAUGUCUCAGUCAUCCAUCAUCUUCAUCCUGCUGUCUCAUUGUCUUUAGUAAAAUUUAAUGGUUGUUUUUGUCUUUCUGUACAUAUUAUUAACAUCAGUCAGGCAUAUUCCUUAAACAUUGAAGUAAAAUAGCAUCUCGAAUUAACUUUUCUUUGAGAACAAACUAAUAGCAACUGAGAGCAUUCCUUCUCCCCCACCUUUUAUCUGCUCACUUAACCCAAUAGCUCAAUGGGCACUUUCUUUGGGAAGUCUGAUUUGAAUACCACACAUACUCUGUCUCCCCAAUAGCCCACAUAUAAUUCUACGAAGGUACUUAUAUGCCCAUUGUAAAAGUGUUUGCUUGCUCUCUUUCUCAUUGUAUUGUGAAAGUCAUGAUGUGAGCUCUGAAGUAUUCACCAUCGCAUCCACAGUAUAUGGCAAGAUAUUUCGCAGAGAGAAUUAAAUACCAAAAUACAUCCACAUCUCUCAAAGGAAUGAUUAUGACUGCAAAAAGAAAACAAUUAAUCCAGACAUUUGGAAAGUCUCUCUUCGCAUAGGAAUUACAGUGAUAUAGCAUUCAGCAUUCUUCCCUGGUAGAGAUUUGAGUGAGCUCAGUGGAGAACAGCAGCAAGGGAUUAGGGCCUGGCUUCCUCCUCCUGAUUCAGUCCUACCCUUACUUCUGACCACAACCAAUCAGUUAAUAAACUAUCUGUCUUGACAUAAGAAACCUUACAAGGAAAUGAUCUAGCAUAUGGAAAUGCAUUACAGGCUCACCAGGAAAAAAUAAAAAAAAAUAAAAAUAAAAACAGGUGGCAGGAAGAUCUACCAACAGCUCUGUCUUUGAUAUUCAUGCUGUUGCUGGAUUCACAGAUGAUGAAAUACACACAAGUGAAGGCUUUUAAAUGGCAACAAAGCAGGUCUUGCAUUCACCCCAAUUAGCAAUCAGCAUAAGAAAAAAUAAAAUCACAAAUUGCCUACCUGUGCAGAAAUCAAUGUACAUAUGAUUUUGAAGAUUUUGAGUCAAGGGCAAUCCUUCUUGUUUUGACAGAGGCUCCUAGAAGGCUCUGUGUGUGUGUGUGUGUGUGUGUGUGUGUGUGUGUGUGUGUGUGUGUGUGUGUGUGUUGGAGUUGAGCACUGAAUUAACAGAGAAAGAUCUAGGCAAAAAUUAUGAAAGUCUCAAAGAAGAAAUAUUUACAAAAAAGCCAGAGAGGAGAAUGCUGUUGAUUGUUAAUGCUGAAUUGAAUUAUUUGAUUAUAUCAUCUUGGUAAAUAAAUAACAAACCCAUUUUCUUUUAUGUUAAGGUAUGUUCAUGAAUAACUUGUAUAUUGCAAAUCUGAAAUACUAUGUAUGAUUAUAAAUACUCUCCUUAAACCAAUAAAUCAAAAUCUUUCACAUGUUCAUAAUUACAAAAUUUACAAUAGUUUAUAGAUACCUAUAUUGCAACACAACACUGGAAAAUGUUUAUGGUUUCUAAGUGCAUUUUUGUGAUUAUAGUUGUCCUCCGAGAAAAUCCACCAGAGUUAGUGACUAUAUCUUGUAUGAAUGGAAGACCAUUAUAUAUUUCACAAUUCUAACAAUGAUUCUAAGAUUGUUUUUCUCAUUCACAGAUCUUAUUAUUGUCCUUUUCCUUCAAUCCAUUUUAGCAAGUGUAAUAAUGAAUAAUGAAGUAUAUGUACAUAUUUUAUCAUAGUUGCACUACACUACCAUCUCUAGUGAUGUAUUUUAUAAUAUUAAUAUAGUCAGUGAUUGUACAUCCUCUCUGCAUAUCACAUUGUUUGUGGCUCUACCCUAUACCAUAAUAAAAAACAUUACUGUUGCACUAUUUUAAUUUGGACGUGAAUCACUAAAUUGAUGAAUUCAGAGUUACAUAAUAAAGGUUAUAUGUGCAUGGGAAUGUUUUUAAAGGAAGAUGAUGGGAUUUGAACUGUGUCUGAUAGAAUUGUAGGAAUGUGAAGUGCAUGAUUGCAUAGUCUUGUUUGGAAGGACGGACAAGGCAAAUGACCUGGAUGCAGGCUGGCACAGAAGGUAGUGAGCAAAGAGAGCACCAAUGCAUAGGGGGAGACUAGGGAAAUAUCAGAAAGACCCAUGUGUGCCAAAGUAAUGUGACUCUGGGAAGCAAGUUUAGGGUAAUAGUGCAAUGGUUUUUCAUAGAUUUUUAAAUAUAGAAAAGCUCAGAAUUGGUCUAAACCAGCAGUCCAGUAGAACUAUAAUGUCAGCUUCACAUAUAGUAUAAAAAUUUCUAGUAGCCACAUUAGAAAUGUUUAAAAUGGCAAAAUUAAUACAAUAUAUUUAUUUAACACUGUAUAUCUAAUAUAUAUCAAUUCAGCAUGUAUUCAAUAUAAAAUUAUUGAGCUACAUUAAAUUCUUUUUUCACUAAAUAUUCAAAAUCCCAUGUGUAUUUUGUAUUUUUAGCCCACCUCAGUUUGGGCCAUGUGUAUUUGAAGAGCUUAAGAUUUACAUAUGUUGAACAAAGCAGGUCUCAGAUGAGAAUUGGUCUUGGGCCCAUCUGUUCUUUUGAACCCUCACUGUGAGGCCUGAUAUUACAGUGGGUAACCCAUAUUAACUAUCCAUUCUUUGGGAUAAUUUCAUCUCAAAGGUGGCCAAUGAACCACCUGCAUUAGAACCACUUCAGGUGCUUAUUAAAAUAAUCCUCUACUAAGGUUUAUUAAAUGAGAACCUCUGGGUUGGGCGAUGAGAAAGCAAUUUUUACACAAGCUACGUUAAGUAUUUCUAAUGCAGAUGAAUGUCUGAAAACACAGCUUUUAAAAAAUAUUUUUGCAAUAAACAAAUGACAAAAGGAACAUGCUGCAUGAAACUAACUCUGCAUGAAACCAUUGAUAUUUUAGAGCCAAAUCAAUUCUAACCACCCAAGACAUUGAGGAGCACAAUGGUAGAGAAUUAAAAACUAUGAAAUGUGUAAUCACCACAAUCAUAGAAGCUCACAUCACAGCAUUUAUCACUGCCCCACACUGUGUUGCAGAUUGUUGGUUGUCUUUCUGCCACCACUGGCAUAUAAUCUUCAUCAGAUUUGGGACUGAUGGUAUCAAUAUAGUGUAUAUCUAGUAAAAUAGUUCUAGGCAAAAUAGUAGG
ensembl:lncRNA